GGUGCAGGCGGUCUGGUAAGUCGGAUGUAAAUCUCCUGGCUUAACUAGGAGGGACCAUUCGAUACUGCCGGGCUAGAGUGCAGCAGGGGGAGGUGGAAUUCCCGGUGUAGUGGUGAAAUGCGUAGAUAUCGGGAGGAACACCAGUGGCGAAGGCGGCCUCCCAGGCUGUUACUGACGCUGAGGCCCGAAAGCGUGGGGAGCAAACAGGAUUAGAUACCCUGGUAGUCCACGCCGUAAACUAUGGACACUAGGUAUGGGGAGUAUCGACCCUCUCCGUGCCGAAGCUAACGCUUUAAGUGUCCCGCCUGGGGAGUACGGUCGCAAGACUAAA
rnacentral:rRNA from 1 species